UNGAAGCAAUGGUCCAGCUCCCAGGUCUA
rnacentral:piRNA from 1 species